CGGCACGGGUGAGUAACACGUAUCCAACCUGCCGUCUACUCUUGGACAGCCUUCUGAAAGGAAGAUUAAUACAAGAUGGCAUCAGGAGUUCACAUGUUCACAUGAUUAAAGGUAUUCCGGUAGACGAUGGGGAUGCGUUCCAUUAGAUAGUAGGCGGGGUAACGGCCCACCUAGUCUUCGAUGGAUAGGGGUUCUGAGAGGAAGGUCCCCCACAUUGGAACUGAGACACGGUCCAA
rnacentral:rRNA from 1 species